CCUACGGGAGACAGCAGUGGGGCAUAUUGGGCAAUGGGCGCAAGCCUGACCCAGCAACGCCGCGUGAAGGAAGAAGGCUUUCGGGUUGUAAACUUCUUUUCUCAGGGACGAAGCAAGUGACGGUACCUGAGGAAUAAGCCACGGCUAACUACGUGCCAGCAGCCGAGGUAAUACGUAGGUGGCAAGCGUUAUCCGGAUUUACCGGGUGUAAAGGGCGUGUAGGCGGGGACGCAAGUCAGAUGUGAAAACCACGGGCUCAACCUGUGGCCUGCAUUGGAAACGGUGUGUCUUGAGUACUGUAGAGGAAGACGGAAUUCCUAGUGUAGCGGUGAAAUGCGUAGAUAUUAGGAGGAACACCAGUGGCGAAGGCGGUCUGCUGGACAGCAACUGACGCUGAGGCGCGAAAGCGUGGGGAGCAAACAGGAUUAGAUACCCCUGUAGUC
rnacentral:rRNA from 1 species